GCCAGCCAGGCAGAGGAGAAAGAAGAUCCAGGCUCUCAUGGUGAUGCUGGAACUCUACGUGGCAGUCAAGGAGACAGGCAGAGAUGUCCGGGCAGUCUGAAGUUCUGCAGGAAUGU